AAAGUCUGACCUGCCCUAUGAUAGUAAAAUAUUAAAUGGCCGCGAUAUUUUGAUCGUGCAAAGGUAGCAUAAUCAUUAGUUUCUUAAUUAGGAACUGGAAUGAAAGGUCGAACGAGAAAAAUUCUGUCUCAAUUUAAUUUAAUUAGAAUUUUAUUUUUAAGUAAAAAAGCUUAAAUAAAUUUAAAAGACGAGAAGACCCUAUAGAGUUUUAUAUUUAUGAUUUUUAAGAGGAGGAAUAAGAAUAAUUCUUUUUUAUUAAUUUUAAGUAUUUAGUUGGGGUGACUAAAAAAUUUAAAUAACUUUUUUUAAUAAAGGUAACAUUGAUAUAUGAAUAAUUGAUCCA
rnacentral:rRNA from 1 species